CUCACUGAAGAAGCGAGGUUCCCUAUGUUCCCGGACAAAGUAGAGGGAAAAAAAUAGUAAAAAAGAAGAGAGUGACUACUCUUAGGUUUCAAACCUGGAACAAAUGACCAUUCUGUUCGGCAGGAAAGAGUUGGGCAGUUGAAACUACAAGUUGGAAACUACAGAAUGUUUUGGAAGAACCUCCUGUCUUCACUUUAAAAUUCAGGAGACAGAGAAGAACCUACAUCUCAUGAUGUUUUGAAGAUUAAAGACAGCAUGUAGACUCAUGAGAAAGAGAUUGGCAAAGAAUGUGAAGAGCCUAUCGCCUUCCUAGCAUUCGAAAAUUUGAAUGACUACUGGCUGUUAUUUUGAUUGAGAGAGCUAUGAAACUUGGGCAAAUUGGCAGUAGCUAGCAUUUGGAAAGGAAG
rnacentral:lncRNA from 1 species